GGUCUUAUAUUCAAUUAUGAUAUUAAAUUGCAAAUUUGAAGGUGUUAAAAAACUAAGACUU
rnacentral:tRNA from 1 species